rnacentral:rRNA from 1 species
ACGUAUGGCCGUAUUAGUGGCACAGGCACCUGAACUCAUUUCGAAUUCAGAAGCUAAGCGCUGUCAGGCUUGGUUAGUACUGAGGUGAAGGAUCACCGGAAACCCCAAGUGCCGUACUUU